rnacentral:tRNA from 1 species
GGAGAGGUGUCCGAGUGGCUUAAGGAGCACGCCUGGAAAGCUUGUGUACAUUUUAUGUACCGAGGGUUCGAAUCCCUCUCUCUCCU